rnacentral:rRNA from 1 species
GUUGGUGAGAUAACAGCCCACCAAGGCGACGAUGGGUAGCCGAGCUGAGAGGCUGAUCGGCCACAUUGGGACUGAAACACGGCCCAGACUCCUACGGGAGGCAGCAGUGGGGAAUAUUGGGCAAUGGAGGCAACUCUGACCCAGCAAUGCCGCGUGAGGCGAUGAAGGUAGUUUUAUUGUAAAGCUCUUUUCUUAGGAACGAACGAAUGACGGUACCUGAGGAAUAAGCCCCGGCUAACUACGUGCCAGCAGCCGCGGUAAUACGUAGGGGGCGAGCGUUGUCCGGAAUGACUGGGCGUAAAGGGUGUGUAGGUGGUUUGAUAAGUUAGAUGUGUAAUACCCAGGGCUUAACUCGGGUGCUGCAUCUAAAACUGUUAGACUUGAGUACUGGAGAGGAUAGUGGAAUUCCUAGUGUAGCGGUGGAAUGCGUAGAUAUUAGGAGGAACAUCAGUGGCGAAGGCGACUAUCUGGACAGCAACUGACACUGAGGCACGAAAGCGUGGGGAGCAAACAGGAUUAGAUACCCUGGUAGUCCACGCUGUAAACGAUGGAUACUAGAUGCAGGAGGUAUUCACUCCUUCUGUGUCGCAGCUAACGCAAUAAGUAUCCCGCCUGGGGAGUA